CCCGAAAGGGUAGGGUGCCCGCAAGGGAGCGUGGAGACAGGUGGUGCAUGGCUGUCGUCAGCUCGUGUCGUGAGAUGUUGGGUUAAGUCCCGCAACGAGCGCAACCCUCACCCCUUGUUGCCACCGGGUCAUGCCGAGCACUCUAGGGGAACUGCCAGCGUCAAGCUGGAGGAAGGCGGGGAUGACGUCAAGUCAUCAUGCCCCUUACGCCCUGGGCGACACACGUGCUACAAUGGCUGGUACAAAGGGAUGCAAGACCGCGAGGUGGAGCUAAUCCCAAAAAACCGGUCUAAGUUCAGAUUGCAGUCUGCAACUCGACUGCAUGAAGGAGGAAUCGCUAGUAAUCGCGCAUCAGCACGGCGCGGUGAAUACGUUCCCGGGCCUUGUACACACCGCCCGUCACACCACGAAAGUCGG
rnacentral:rRNA from 1 species